rnacentral:rRNA from 1 species
CUACGGGUUGCACCAGUGGGGAAUAUUGGACAAUGGACCAAAAGUCUGAUCCAGCAAUUCUGUGUGUUUGAUGAAGGCCUUCGGGUUGUAAAGAACUUUAAGUAGGGAAGAAGAAAGUGACGGUACCUGCAGAAUAAGCGACGGCUAAAUACGUGCCAGCAGCCGCGGUAAUACGUAUGUCGCAAGCGUUAUCCGGAAUUAUUGGGCAUAAAGCGCGUCUAGGCGGUUUACUAAGUCUGAUGUGAAAAUGCGGGGCUCAACUCCGUAUUGCGUUGGAAACUGGUAGACUAGAGUAUUGGAGAGGUAGGCGGAACUACAAGUGUAGAGGUGAAAUUCGUAGAUAUUUGUAGGAAUGCCAAUGACGAAGGUAGCUUACUGGACAAAUACUGACGCUGAAGCGCGAAAGCUAGGGGAGCAAACAGGAUUAGAUACCCCGGUAGUC